rnacentral:misc_RNA from 1 species
CCCAAGUCCAUAUAUGCCCCAUAUUGAAAUAUAUGGGACAUUAGUUCCCUUGCAAUGGGAUCGUAAUAUGUGCCUUUUUCAAACCUUGUGCCUCAUAAUAAGCAUGCUCUUAGGCUUAUGAAGCAUUUCCCUUUGUGAAGUUAUCCCACCUUAUCCUAGUAUAGGCAUUGGCCCUAGGUUAUGGUGUGCCUUUAAUAACUAUAUUGAGAGAGGGUUUGAUUUUGACAUAGCUACUUCCAUUGGAUGCCUAUCAGUUACAAAAAGACAUUAACUUAAGCAAUUUGUUUGGCUUAGCUUCAAUCAGAAACACAUUUAGACUCUAGGGCGUUUCUCCAUGGCUUCAACUUCUAAUCAAACCUAGUUUGGUUUUCGUAAGUAUAAAUUAUGUUAUCAGCAAAGGCAUGUACUUUCAUCUAUGACUCUAUGCUUUGUCAAAUGCCAUUGGAUUCAUGAUUAAAGCAAAAAGAUAGAGGUUCAAGUUAGAUAGGUUGCAUAAGUGACUAUUAUAUAUACUCCAACAUAUUAUUCUCAUAUGUCCUUAUACUAGUGUUUUUUCAUGCAUACCUUUUAACUUAUUUUUUAUAUCCAAUAGAUAUCUCUUAGAAUUUUUUUUGUAAGCAAGAUGGGCUAUUACUUUAGUUGCAGAGUGUGUUCCUAAUAAUUGUUCCAAAGUGCUUGAUUAGUGAGGGCAUUUGGCUACAUGGAUGGUACACUCUUCUCAUCAAUGCCUAAUAUUAUGUCACAGUUCCAUGUCUCACUAACACUCCUAUUUGAAUCAAGGAUUGAAACCAUACUUCUUGAGAAAAUAUAUGGUGUGAUUUAGGUGAUAUUCCAUAUAAAUCCAAUAUUCCAUUCUCUCAUGGGUUUUAGGUGUUACAGUAUGAUGCAUAACUCUUUUAUUCUCAAGAAUUAAGAAUUCAUAAAUCCCUCAUUAGUAAAUGGUGAAUUAUGUCUCAAACAUAGCUAAGGUUUGCCUUAAUGGAAAAUAAAAUAGAGCAACAAAUAGCAAUCUUCUCAAUCAAGAAGUAUGAAUCACACCUUUGUUUCUGGUGCCACAGUGGUUUUCUAGAUCAAUAAAACACCAUAUGAAGGUUUCAUCUUUCUUCUUGGCACUUCUUCAUUAACCCCCUUAUAAGAAAGGAUGCCUUCACACUUUCUUUUUCCACAUGACAAAUUAAAUUUUUAUUUGUAGGUUCUUUUUUACCAUACCAUUGGAAAUUUUAAAAUUUGGAAUAUAACUCAACUCAACUUAACUCAACUCAACUAAG